GAUGAACGCUGGCGGCAUGCCUAAUACAUGCAAGUCGAGCGAACAGACGAUGAGCUUUCGCCUCUGAGGUUAGCGGCUGACGGGUGAGUAACACAUGGAUAACCUACUUAUUUUACUUGGAUAACUUCGUGAAAACGCUGAUACUACUACAGAAUAUAUUUAACGGCAUGGAUCAAUAGUGCUAGAGACCUUGCCCGUCACUUUGAGAUGAUGUCGCGUCGCAUUAGCUAGUUGGUAAGGUAACGGCGUACCAAGGCAACGAUGCGUAGCUGACCUGAGAGGAUGAUCAGCCACACUGGAACUGAGACACGGUCCAGACUCCUACGGGAGGCAGCAGUGGGGAAUAUUGGACAAUGGGCGAAAGCCUGAUGCAGCCACACCGCGUAAGUGAUGAAGGUCUUCGGAUUGUAAAGCUCUGUUGUUAGGAAAGAAAAAAAGUGUAAGAAUAUACCGAUGUUCUGACGGUACCCAAAGAAAAAGCAACGGCUAACUUCGUG
rnacentral:rRNA from 1 species